rnacentral:rRNA from 1 species
ACGUAGGGCGCAAGCGUUAUCCGGAAUUAUUGGGCGUAAAGAGCUCGUAGGCGGUUUGUCGCGUCUGCUGUGAAAGACCGGGGCUCAACUCCGGUUCUGCAGUGGGUACGGGCAGACUAGAGUGCAGUAGGGGAGACUGGAAUUCCUGGUGUAGCGGUGAAAUGCGCAGAUAUCAGGAGGAACACCGAUGGCGAAGGCAGGUCUCUGGGCUGUAACUGACGCUGAGGAGCGAAAGCAUGGGGAGCGAACAGG